UAUAUUUUGGUGUAUGACGCACAAAAGUUUUUGAUACUUUAAGAAACAGUUUAAUUCUGUUAAAUAUAA
rnacentral:tRNA from 1 species